AGUGAACGCUGGCGGUAGGCCUAACACAUGCAAGUCGAACGGCAGCACAGUAAGAGCUUGCUCUUACGGGUGGCGAGUGGCGGACGGGUGAGGAAUACAUCGGAAUCUACUUUUUCGUGGGGGAUAACGUAGGGAAACUUACGCUAGUACCGCAUACGACCUACGGGUGAAAGCAGGGGAUCUUCGGACCUUGCGCGAUUGAAUGAGCCGAUGUCGGAUUAGCUAGUUGGCGGGGUAAAGGCCCACCAAGGCGACGAUCCGUAGCUGGUCUGAGAGGAUGAGCAGCCACACUGGAACUGAGACACGGUCCAGACUCCUACGGGAGGCAGCAGUGGGGAAUAUUGGACAAUGGGCGCAAGCCUGAUCCAGCCAUACCGCGUGGGUGAAGAAGGCCUUCGGGUUGUAAAGCCCUUUUGUUGGGAAAGAAAAGCAGCAGGUUAAUACCCCGCUGUUCUGACGGUACCCAAAGAAUAAGCACCGGCCAACUUCGU
rnacentral:rRNA from 1 species